rnacentral:rRNA from 1 species
UACGUAGGGGGCAAGCGUUGUCCGGAAUCAUUGGGCGUAAAGAGCGUGUAGGCGGCUCGGUAAGUCCGCUGUGAAAGCCCUGGGCUCAACCCAGGAAGUGCACUCGAAACUGGCGGGCUUGAAUAUGGAAGAGGGUCGCGGAAUUCCCGGUGUAGAGGUGAAAUUCGUAGAUAUCGGGAGGAACACCAGUGGCGAAGGCGGCGACCUGGGCCAAUAUUGACGCUGAGGUGCGAAAGCGUGGGGAGCAAACAGG